GAUGAACGCUAGCUACAGGCUUAACACAUGCAAGUCGAGGGGCAGCAUGGUCUUAGCUUGCUAAGGCCGAUGGCGACCGGCGCACGGGUGAGUAACACGUAUCCAACCUGCCGUCUACUCUUGGACAGCCUUCUGAAAGGAAGAUUAAUACAAGAUGGCAUCAUGAGUCCGCAUGUUCACAUGAUUAAAGGUAUUCCGGUAGACGAUGGGGAUGCGUUCCAUUAGAUAGUAGGCGGGGUAACGGCCCACCUAGUCUUCGAUGGAUAGGGGUUCUGAGAGGAAGGUCCCCCACAUUGGAACUGAGACACGGUCCAAACUCCUACGGGAGGCAGCAGUGAGGAAUAUUGGUCAAUGGGAGAGAGCCUGAACCAGCCAAGUAGCGUGAAGGAUGACUGCCCUAUGGGUUGUAAACUUCUUUUAUAAAGGAAUAAAGUCGGGUAGGGAUACCCGUUUGCAUGUACUUUAUGAAUAAGGAUCGGCUAACUCCGUG
rnacentral:rRNA from 1 species